GCUGGAGGUUGUUGAGGCAACAACCACUAAUUCUAGGAUAUUCUUUGGACAUUGUGAAGGAGCAUUUAAUUUGGUCAACGGGUAACUACGGAAUUUGAUAUACAGUGGCCAGCUUGAUCAGAAGGAAUUUAAUAGAUGGCUCAGUGAUAGCAACCAGCAGCCCAUGGUUAGUUGCAUAGGAAAAGCUAGGGUUUAGUGUUAGUGGAUUCCAUGGUUGGUUGCAGCCUACAGCGGGGAAGUUGGUUAUUAUUCGAUCUCGUUUUGGCUGGUUAUGGAGAUAGACAAGGAAAGUGGCUUUCGCUGGCGUGUGAAAUGAUCCCCAUCCCCCCAACUUAUGUUUUGUUAUCAUGUCUUCAUCGCCAUAUGUGCAAAAUUUUAGCUUCCAUCUAUUUCAUGUCCUCUGCUCCACUAUUCUUCUCCCCAUGUACAUCAAAUCUGUUUUUUCAACUCAUGCCUUACCUGCUAAUCAUGGUUGUAGUUUUUUUUGGGUACUCUACUUAAUGUCGUACCUGCUAAGCACUAUGAUUUUCAAUUGCUAAUUGAUUGUUUGAACGCAAUGUGCGUAGGUCUAGGAAAGAAGAGGUCAAGUCUUGGCGACCUUGUAUCC